rnacentral:rRNA from 1 species
GAUGAACGCUGGCGGCGUGCCUAAUACAUGCAAGUCGAGCGAACGGACGAGAAGCUUGCUUCUCUGAUGUUAGCGGCGGACGGGUGAGUAACACGUGGAUAACCUACCUAUAAGACUGGGAUAACUUCGGGAAACCGGAGCUAAUACCGGAUAAUAUUUUGAACCGCAUGGUUCAAAAGUGAAAGACGGUCUUGCUGUCACUUAUAGAUGGAUCCGCGCUGCAUUAGCUAGUUGGUAAGGUAACGGCUUACCAAGGCAACGAUGCAUAGCCGACCUGAGAGGGUGAUCCGCCACACGGGAACUGAGACACGGUCCAGACUCCGACGGGAGGCAGCAGUAGGGAAUCUUCCGCAAUGGGCGAAAGCCUGACGGUGCAACGCCGCGUGAGUGAUGAAGGUCUUCGGAUCGGAAAACUCUGUUAUUAGGGAAGAACAUAUGUGUAAGUAACUGUGCACAUCUUGACGGUACCUAAUCAGAAAGCCACGGCUAACUACGUG